rnacentral:rRNA from 1 species
CCUACGGGAGACUGCAGUGGGGAAUAUUGCACAAUGGUGGAGACCCUGAUGCAGCGACGCCGCGUGAGUGAAGAAGUAUUACGGUAUGUAAAGCUCUAUCUGCAGGGAAGAAAAUGACGGUACCUGACUAAGAAGCCCCGGCUAACUACGUGCCAGCAGCCGCGGUAAUACGUAGGGGGCAAGCGUUAUCCGGAUUUACUGGGUGUAAAGGGAGCGUAGACGGCAGCACAAGUCUGGAGUGAAAGGCCGGGGCUUAACCCCGGACCUGCGUUGGAAACUGUGCAGCUAGAGUGCAGGAGAGGUAAGUGGAAUUCCUAGUGUAGCGGUGAAAUGCGUAGAUAUUAGGAGGAACCCCAGUGGCGAAGGCGGCUUACUGGACUGUAACUGACGUUGAGGCUCGAAAGCGUGGGGAGCAAACAGGAUUAGAUACCCUGGUAGUC